rnacentral:lncRNA from 1 species
CCUGACAGCCAGGUACAGUCAGCUCAGAAGAGGAGAGCCGGGAGUUCCCGUCGUGGCGCAGUGGUUAACAAAUCCGACUAGGAACCAUGAGGUUGCGGGUUCGAUCUCUGCCCUUGCUCAGAGGGUUAAGGAUCCGGCAUUGCUGUGAGCUGUGGUGUGGGUCGCAGACGCGGCUCGGAUCCUGCGUUGCUGUGGCUCUGGCGUAGGCCGGCAGCUAUAGCUCCGAUUAGACCCCUAGCCUGGGACCCUCCAUAUGCCACGGGAGCGGCCCAAGAAAUGGCAAAAAGACAAAAAAGAAGAAGAAGAAGAAGAAGAAGAAGAGCCUUCUCUGACUGCGACGGAAGGGACCCAAAUUCACCACACAGGGAAAGAGUCUUCAACUGUCCUAACGCCCGCGGUCCAUCUCUGUCCAUCUCCAUCUGUGUACACGGACAGGGAUACAUACUGUUGAGUAUCUGUCAGCAUCCAGGGCUUGGAGGCAGAAUGAUUUACCAUCCUUCUAACUUAUGAGGAUUUACAAACUUGAAAAAACUUUGAAGGUGAGAAAUAUUACACCCCAAGUGUGCAUGGAUUCCAAGUUAACUUCUUCCAUUCCAAAUGUAAUCUCUGAAGUAUUUAAUUUGAAAGAUUUUACAUUUCUAAUUGGGAAAGAUCAUUCUAAACUCAUUUGUUUACAAAGCUUGCAUCGCCUCAAUGCCAGGAAAGAGCCAGCUAGCUACUGCACCGAAAAUGGUGGCUCUAUAAGACCUUAAAAUCCAGCGGUGAUAAUGUUUGCAAUCAUGAGCUUGUAUCACCAGUAAAAUAUUCGGGAUAAAAUUAUUCCUACAUCCAGUUGCUUUUUGUGAUGGAUACAUUUUUGAGAAGUAGCAUAGAGGAAGCAUUAAAGAGAUGAAAAGUUGAAUAAAAUCAUCUAUUUUCACUCCCAGGCAGAGUAAGGGAAAUAGAUGUGACACAGAUAAAGAUGCUCUGAGGAAAUGAUAAGGUAGAUAUCUCCUUCCUUUCUCCCAUAUGAGUGUACUUCAGUCCUCCAAGGUCAGGCACAGAAACUUAAACAUCUCUAAAGCCUCAAUACCUGCAGCAUGCUAAGUACUCGGCAAGUACUUAACAGAAUUGAUGGAAGUGAGGGUGUGAGGAAGACACUCCAUUAAUAGCACAUGCAUUUGAAACGGUAUGGAAAUGAUCAGCUCCAGUAACACCUCUUACUCCAGUGGGUUCCAAAUAGAUCAAGAAGACAGGCAUCAGGUGGACAUCCAAAUAUGAACUUCAUUUGCAUUUGGUGAGACUGGAUGGAGAACAUGCCUUCACCGUGGUGCCAGCAUGAGAUGAAAUCCUGGAACUCACCCUGGGCCCCUCGGGCCAGCGCAGGCCCUGCUGAACCCAGGCAUAGUAACCCAUCACUAUUAACCCAUAGUAACUCAUCUCAUGCUGAGCCAUGAGAGCAGAGACUGACAGAGGUGAGGCUGAGGCUGGUCCUACAAGGUGGGCUCUAGUGCAGGCCCCUAUUUUCCACUCACCUGGAAGGCAGUGAAAACAUUUAGCCCAUGUUUGGGCCAGAAAGGGAAGCCCACUGGGUCACCAGACCUGCCUGAGCAGGAGCAGGGAAGGCCAGCCCCUGACCCCAUGCCCCACCAGGGGGCGUAUCAGCCUGUCUCUCUGGGAAAGACUCAGUGGACAAGGAGGAUUUGUAAGUGGCCACGUGGGCAGGUAACAAGGAAUAUAGUUCCUCGCACCACUGACUCAUUACCAACAAGCCCCUUUUUUCUUAUCUUGGCAAGAAAAAAAAAAUGAGGAUGGAGAGGGGGAAGCGCCAACAAGAAAUCUCUUGGAGAUGGAAAGGUAUCCCCUGUUCCUGGUCAGCUUUGGGGAAAUGAGUAUUUUAAAUGACUCUUAACCUAAUGAGAAACUGAAAAUAUCUGAACAGACACACCACCAAAGAAGAGACAGAUGAAAAAUAAAUACCUGGAGAGAUGUUGAAAUUAUUAACCAUUAGAAAAAUGCAGAUUAAAACUCGAUAAGAUACUAGAAUGGCUAAAGUUUAAAAAUUGAUAGUACCAAGGGUUGACAAGAAGAUGGAGCAGUUGGAACCCUCAUAUACAGCUGCUGGGAAUGUAAAAUGGUAUAGCUGCAUUUGAGAACAGUUUGACAGUUCCUUGUAAGUUAAACAUGCAUUUAUCAUACGACCCAGCAAUCCACUCCUAGACAUAUACCCAAGAGAAGUGAAAGCAGAUGGCCACACAAAGACCUGUGCACACAUGUCUAUACAAGAUUUAUUAACAGUAGUCUCAAAUUGUUAAACAAAUCAAACAUCCCAUCAACUGGUACAUGGAUAAACAAAUUGUGGUGUAUCUAUACAAUGUAGUAACAGUCAACA